rnacentral:rRNA from 1 species
AAAUUGAAGAGUUUGAUCAUGGCUCAGAUUGAACGCUGGCGGCAGGCCUAACACAUGCAAGUCGAACGGUAACAGGAAGCAGCUUGCUGCUUCGCUGACGAGUGGCGGACGGGUGAGUAAUGUCUGGGAAACUGCCUGAUGGAGGGGGAUAACUACUGGAAACGGUAGCUAAUACCGCAUAACGUCGCAAGACCAAAGAGGGGGACCUUCGGGCCUCUUGCCAUCGGAUGUGCCCAGAUGGGAUUAGCUAGUAGGUGGGGUAACGGCUCACCUAG